ACCGAUUACGGUUGGGCCGAUGGUCGAACCCUUCACUCCGAUUUCAAUAACCAAACGGACUCGUAAAUCUAAAAUCUCUUUCACAGAUUUUCACUCGCCAGGCCAUAGGCAGCUUUUACAGAUUUUCACUUCCAAGUUGCAGAUUGGAUGAAAGCAAUGGAAACCGGAGCCGCGCUCUCGGAAGAAACCUCCUCCUCCCUUGCUGCUCGCUUUCUCGCAUCCGAGAGGUGAAGGGAGCCUGACUUAUGGCUUCCAAGCUUGGCACAAAGUGAAGGGAUUGUAUUUCACCUAUGAUCAGAUCAGUGGGCAACCAUUGUGUACUUUUUCGUGGUGGUGUUGUAGCGGGAGAAAGAUUUGAGUCCACUUAGCGAACUGGUAGGAGGCAGAGAUUGAUUGAUCAAUAUGAAUCUAUAGGGUUGAUGGUAGUCUGCUCCCCCCCUUGUCAUAUUGUUCAUAAGAUUAGUAAAAUAUCAUAUGGUAAUGGAAAUGACUCAAUGCCAAUCCUCUUUGCUGCCCUGCAUAA